rnacentral:rRNA from 1 species
AUUGAACGCUGGCGGCAGGCUUAACACAUGCAAGUCGCGCGAGCGGCGGACGGGUGAGUAAUGUCUGGGAAACUGCCUGAUGGAGGGGGAUAACUACUGGAAACGGUAGCUAAUACCGCAUACCAUCAGAUGUGCCCAGAUGGGAUUAGCUAGUAGGUGGGGUAAUGGCUCACCUAGGCGACGAUCCCUAGCUGGUCUGGGCGGAUGACCAGCCACACUGGAACUGAGACAAGGUAAAGACUCACACGCGAGGCAGCAGGGGGGAUUACUGCAAAAUGGGCGCAAGCCUGAUGCAGCCAUGCGGCGUGUGUGAAGAAGGCCUUCGGGUUGUAAAGCACUUUCAGCGAGGAGGCGUUACUCGCAGAAGAAGCACCGGCUAACUCCGUGCCAGCAGCCGCGGUAAUUC